UGUCUAAGCAGACUUGACAGUCCAACCAGC
rnacentral:piRNA from 1 species